AAAGAGUCCCCUAUGUUUUGAUUCUUUGGCAGUUUUGGACCCCCAAGGCAAAAACAAAAAAAAAUUAUUUGACAUGUGGCACCUCACUUAGGGUGCCACGUCAGCGUUGACCGAGUCAACAAUGGACUGGGGGUCCAAAACUGCCAAAGAAUCAAAACAUAGGGGGCUGUUU
rfam:Medicago truncatula strain A17 chromosome 7, whole genome shotgun sequence.